UAGUUGGGCAUGAAUACAGUAACAUGACCCAUUGGCCCUUUUUCUUCUUUCUUCUUUCUUCUUCUUUCUCCUACGACAGAACACCUUCUUCUUCUCUUCUUCUUCUCAUUUACGAUUCUUCAUCUACUCUUCCUUGUCUUCUAACUACUCUCUCACAUUUGAAUCUCUUGUGCAGGAUUAAUCAAAGAUGAGAUUCCAACACUCCCUCUCUCAUCUUUUGAUUAAUCCCCAAAAUUCCCAAAUUCCAAUCCAGGGAUUUGAUCCCUUUUACUUCUUGUACUUCUCCAAAGAACUUCUUGCUCCAUGAACAAAAUCGUUUCACAACAUUUGUUACCCUUGCUGAUUUCUCUUCUUUUUUACCAACCUUAACAGAAACAUGGGGCUUCUUCCUCUGCAUAUACCCAGGAGCAUGAAUCCGACCAUCAGUCUCUUCUCCAAGAGAGUUCAAAUCAUUACAUACAAAUGCUCUCCAAUUUCUUCGAGAAUCAUCACAUCGAUUUCAGCUAAGACUUGAAGUUCCCUUUUGCUCAGGUGCUUUUGUGCGUCUUCAAUCUUCUUCUCUGUGAUUGUCUUCUCAUCCCACCAAAUUAGUUUCUUCAUCUCAAUCUCCCUCAAGCACUUAUUCUCCAGGAAUCUCUUUGUUUAUCUUUCUAACUUUCUCUGGAGUGAUUUUCUUCUUGGAUUUCCUCUGGUUUUCUCCUAACACAGUUGAUUUCUGCAGGUGCUUUUGCGUGGAACCCAUGUCUCCAAUCUCAUUCUUGGUGAGGUGCGGAUCAUACCACCAUGUAAAUGAGCUUUUUCUGGAAUCAAAGGCUUGAGACUCCCUCUUGCUGUAAUCUCUAUUUCUCUCUAGCUUCAAAGUUUUGUGUGUUCUCACCACUUCUGCUUCUAGUUUCCCAUGAACUUUUUCCACGUCCAUGUUGGUUGUAUCUCCAACCAGCCCUUCUUCCCUCUUAGGUAAGCUCAUCUCUCUCUGAUUGGUAUCUUUGUUGAACAUGACAGACUUGUGGUUCUCAGUUUUCUGAACCAUAGUCUUUGUCUCCUUGACCUUUAUUUCUCUGUCUUUACUUGUAGUGCUUCUUUCGUCCUCAACUUCACUAUCAUACUUGAUCUUCUCAGGUUUCGACUUAACUCAUCAAAUUUCUGAUCAAUGAGUUUAGUUUUUCUCUUGGCAAUGAUUGAGGUUUUCCCCUUUUCUAUUUUUGCUUCAUCGUGGAUCUCUCCUUUGGACUUAUCACUCAUUUGUUCUCUCUCAUCCUUGAGUUCUUGACUUACAACUUUCUCCCUUUUAUGUAGCAUGACACCAAUCAUCUGUUCACUGACCUUAAUUUCUUCUCUUUUUUCAACAGCCUUGACUUUGGACUUUUGAGUAUAACACUCAACUUUCAGCAACUUGUAUUUCUCGUUUUGUUCAUUGCUCGACUCUUUCUUCAGUACACACUCUUGUUCUCAGAUUCAUCAUUUCCACACUCUUUACCAUCUCUUUCAGGGAAAUUACAAUUGGGAGAGAAGGAUCGAUUGCUGCAACUUUCCUACCGGUGAUAAAUUUGUCUUCCACCAGUCUCACCGUCGUUGAAGCUCUCAAACGCAAGACAUGAUUUGAAAAGAAAAACUAGUUGAUUAGAUACAGAGAUAAGGGAAAGCUUUGGCAAUGAAACAGUUUCAGGAUGAUGACGAACAAAUCGAUCGGUUCAUCUGCUUGCAACACUCUCAACAAAUUCAAAGAAAAGGUUUUAAUUACAAAGGGCUUGUACUUCUUAUGUGAAGCUUAUAUUGGUGUCAACGUAGGAAAAAAAAAAAACACUACCAUCUUCACGCUUAUUCCCUUGGGCAUCAAAAUGAGCUGGUUCCAAAAUGUUCAUGGAGCUGUUUGCAAUGAGGUCAUCCAUAUGGGAUAUGUGCAGCAUACGCAUGUUACUGUUCUUAUCCUCUACCCAAGGGACAUAUAGCUUUUUCUUAGCCAUAGUAUUUAGAAAACGAAACACAUGAGUGAAAAAAUGCAGAGCGGGACAUUUUAUCCUGUAUGUGACAAUUUGGCAAAUCUUAUUAAAUCCUUUAAAAUAUCAAGUUUAAUAUCCCCUCUAAGUUUGUGGGCAAA